rnacentral:rRNA from 1 species
UGCGUAGGGUGCGAGCGUUAAUCGGAAUUACUGGGCGUAAAGCGUGCGCAGGCGGUUAUGUAAGACAGAUGUGAAAUCCCCGGGCUCAACCUGGGAACUGCAUUUGUGACUGCAUAGCUAGAGUACGGUAGAGGGGGAUGGAAUUCCGCGUGUAGCAGUGAAAUGCGUAGAUAUGCGGAGGAACACCGAUGGCGAAGGCAAUCCCCUGGACCUGCACUGACGCUCAUGCACGAAAGCGUGGGGAGCAAACAGG